rnacentral:rRNA from 1 species
UACGGAGGGUCCGAGCGUUAUCCGGAAUCAUUGGGUUUAAAGGGUCCGUAGGUGGGCCUAUAAGUCAGAGGUGAAAGUUUGUGGCUCAACCAUAAAAUUGCCUUUGAUACUGUAGGUCUUGAGUUAUAGUGAAGUUGCCGGAACAUGUGGUGUAGCGGUGAAAUGCAUAGAUAUCACAUAGAACACCAAUUGCGAAGGCAGGUGACUAACUAUAUACUGACACUGAUGGACGAAAGCGUGGGGAGCGAACGGG